CCCAGAGUAACCUUUGCUAGCACCAACUCAGCUAGGACAGGUUUUAGACGAGUGAUGGUCAGCGUUUGUAUCUUGGCAUCCUGCUCUAGGUCCCU
rnacentral:pre_miRNA from 1 species